UACGUAGGGGGCAAGCGUUGUCCGGAUUUAUUGGGCGUAAAGAGCGUGUAGGCGGCCAGACAGGUCAGCUGUGAAAACUCGAGGCUCAACCUCGAGACGUCGGUUGAAACCGUCUGGCUAGAGUCCGGAAGAGGAGAGUGGGAUUCCCGGUGUAGCGGUGAAAUGCGCAGAUAUCGGGAAGAACACCCGUGGCGAAGGCGGCUCUCUGGGACGGUACUGACGCUGAGACGCGAAAAGCGUGGGGAGCGAACAGG
rnacentral:rRNA from 1 species